rnacentral:rRNA from 1 species
UUCCGGUUGAUCCUGCCGCCGGCCACCGCUAUCAAGUUCCGACUAAGCCAUGCGAGUCAAGGUAUCGUAAGAUGCCGGCACACUGCUCAGUAACACGUGGACAAUCUAACCUUGAGUAAGGGAUAACCUCGGGAAACUGAGGGUAAUACCUUAUAAUUGCUUAAAACUGGAAUGUUUAGGCAAUAAAAACUCUGGUGCUCAAGGAUGAGUCUGCGACCUAUCAGGUAGUAGGUGGUGUAAUGGACCACCUAGCCUCAGACGGGUACGGGCCCUGGGAGGGGUAGCCCGGAGAUGGACUCUGAGACAUAAGUCCAGGCCCUACGGGGCGCAGCAGGCGCGAACACUGUGCAAUGCGCGAAAGCGCGACACGGGGAGCUUGAGUGUCUUGGCAUAGCCAAGACUUUUCUCAUUCCUAAAAAGCAUGAGGAAUAAGUGCUGGGUAAGACGGGUGCCAGCCGCCGCGGUAACACCCGCAGCACAAGUGGUGGUCACUUUUAUUGAGCCUAAAGCGUUCGUAGCCGGUUUUGUAAAUCUUUAGAUAAAGCCUGAAGCUUAACUCCAGAAAGUCUAAAGAGACUGCAAGACUCGAGAUCGGGUGAGGUUAAACGUACUUUCGGGGUAGGGGUAAAAUCCUGUAAUCCUGGAAGGACGACCAGUGGCGAAAGCGUUUAACUAGAACGAAUCUGACGGUAAGGAACGAAGGCUAGGGUAGCAAACCGGAUUAGAUACCCGGGUAGUCCUAGCUGUAAACAUUGCCCAUUUGAUGUUGCUUUUCCGUUGAGGGAAGGCAGUGUCGGAGCGAAGGUGUUAAAUGGGCCGCUUGGGAAGUAUGGUCGCAAGACUGAAACUUAAAGGAAUUGGCGGGGGAGCACCGCAACGGGAGGAAUGUGCGGUUUAAUUGGAUUCAACGCCGGAA